CACACGCUGUCCUCCGAAACGUGUCCCAUCACUUAAAAUAUGCAGAUACGCUUGUAGCUUGAACCUCAAACCGCAGUGUAUCGAUAAUGUAAAUAAACACCAAUGUGUUCCUGUUUACAGGUUUGAUUUGAUCCACCACUUCGACGCCUCGACCCUGAAGCUUGCAAGGUGUCUGUAUUGCUGGAAGAUGCUGAUCUUCAGUGCAGUCGUCAGUGUCUGAUACUAUUUUACUUGUGACAUCUAGGGAAUCGCUGGUGCUGUCCGAGUUGUGAGUAACCUCAGCUGAAAAUAUAACAAUUUUAAACCUGAUUUACUGCCAUGUCUACUAAUUCCUGGACAGUGGAAGAAGUAUGUGGAUAGCUGGAGGAAAGAGGACUGGGAGAACUUGGUGAGGUGUAAUCAGUGCCCAAGGUGUUCAAUCAAAAAAAAUUCAUACAACAAAUUUCUAAAACAGCUACAACUAUAUCCUGAUUUUGCUGUAAAUUGUGGAAUUAACUCGACAGUACACCAGAAUAAAGUCCCUUCAAAACCACAUUCGAAACCACCACCGGCUGCUUGACAUCUGAACUGAUAAUGUUCACCUCAUGGAAACAUCACAAGCUGAUGAUUUCCAUUUACCUGAGGAGUGUGAUGCUUUGGUUUCUGACUAUCAACCUUUUGUUCUUGGUUUCUAGGAUCCUUGUGGCAUAACCAGUUCAUUCAAAUAGAACUACAGUCUCUUGAACCAGCCUGACCUGUUGAAAACCAGCCAAUAUUACGGAUUUUUUAAAAAUAUUUUUAAUAUUUUGGCAUACAUACAAGUUUUAGAUAUAGAAUAUUGCAUUAUUCCAGUUUAGCGUUUAUAGAACCUCAAUGUGAGCGUUUUGUUGUACAUUAUGUUGAAACAGAUCACGAUUCAAACUUUGCAUUUAAGUCAGGGUGGACAUG